rnacentral:rRNA from 1 species
UACGUAGGGUGCAAGCGUUAAUCGGAAUUACUGGGCGUAAAGCGUGCGCAGGCGGUUAUAUAAGACAGUUGUGAAAUCCCCGGGCUCAACCUGGGAACUGCAUUUGUGACUGUAUAGCUAGAGUACGGUAGAGGGGGAUGGAAUUCCGCGUGUAGCAGUGAAAUGCGUAGAUAUGCGGAGGAACACCGAUGGCGAAGGCAAUCCCCUGGACCUGUACUGACGCUCAUGCACGAAAGCGUGGGGGAGCGAACAGG